rnacentral:rRNA from 1 species
GACGAACGCUGGCGGCGUGCUGAACACAUGCAAGUCGAACGGAAAGGCCCUGCUGUUGUGGGGUGCUCGAGUGGCGAACGGGUGAGUAACACGUGAGUAACCUGCCCUGGACUUUGGGAUAACUUCAGGAAACUGGGGCUAAUACCGGAUAGGAGCUCCUGCUGCAUGGAGGGGGUUGGAAAGGUUGGGCGGUGGGUGAUGGACUCGCGGUUGAUCAGCUUGAUGGAGGGGUAGUGGCUUAGCAAGGAUUUGACGGGUAGCCGGCCUGACAGGGUGACAGGCCACCUUGGGACUAGGGUACGGCCCGAAGUCCUACGGGAGGCAGCAGUGGAGUAUUUUCCUUCAUGCGGCGACUUCUGAUCAAGCAACGCCGCGUCCGGGAUAUCGGCCUUCUGGUUGUAUUCCGCUUUCGCCUGUGACGACGCCUGAUUGCCUUUCAUGGGUAAAGAAGCACCGCCUACCUACCUG